rnacentral:rRNA from 1 species
UACGAGGGGGGCGAGCGUUGUUCGGAAUUAUUGGGCGUAAAGGGUGCGUAGGCGGUUUGAUAAGUCUGAUGUGAAAUCUAUGGGCUCAACCCAUAGCCUGCAUUAGAAACUGUCGGGCUUGAGUAUGGGAGAGGUGAGUGGAAUUCCCAGUGUAGCGGUGAAAUGCGUAGAUAUUGGGAGGAACACCAGUGGCGAAGGCGGCUCACUGGACCGGUACUGACGCUGAUGCGCGAAAGCGUGGGGAGCAAACGGG